AGUGAACGCUGGCGGUAGGCCUAACACAUGCAAGUCGAACGGCAGCACAGUAAGAGCUUGCUCUUACGGGUGGCGAGUGGCGGACGGGUGAGGAAUACAUCGGAAUCUACUUUUUCGUGGGGGAUAACGUAGGGAAACUUACGCUAAUACCGCAUACGACCUACGGGUGAAAGCAGGGGAUCUUCGGACCUUGCGCGAUUGAAUGAGCCGAUGUCGGAUUAGCUAGUUGGCGGGGUAAAGGCCCACCAAGGCGACGAUCCGUAGCUGGUCUGAGAGGAUGAUAGGCACACUUGGAACUAGGAAACGGUCCAAACCCCAAGGGGGGGCGGAAGGGGGAAAUUUUGGCAAUGGGCGCAAGCCUGAUCCAGCCAUACCGCGUGGGUGAAGAAGGCCUUCGGGUUGUAAAGCCCUUUUGUUGGGAAAGAAAAGCAGCAGGUUAAUACCCCGCUGUUCUGACGGUACCCAAAGAAUAAGCACCGGCUAACUUCGUG
rnacentral:rRNA from 1 species